rnacentral:rRNA from 1 species
UACGUAGGGGGCAAGCGUUGUCCGGAAUCAUUGGGCGUAAAGCGCGUGUAGGCGGCUUGAUAAGUCUGCUGUGAAAGUCCAGGGCUCAACCCUGGAAAGCCGGUGGAAACUGUCAAGCUAGAGUCCGGAAGAGGCGAGUGGAAUUCCUGGUGUAGCGGUGAAAUGCGCAGAUAUCAGGAGGAACACCAAUGGCGAAGGCAGCUCGCUGGGACGGUACUGACGCUGAGACGCGAAAGCGUGGGGAGCGAACAGG